rnacentral:tRNA from 1 species
UCCGAUAUGGUGUAGUGGCCAACAUGAUGCCCUCUCAUUCGAUGAGAGGUUAGGCAUAGCCCCGAGUUCGAUUCUCGGUUUCGGAA